rnacentral:rRNA from 1 species
UACGUAGGGGGCGAGCGUUGUCCGGAGUUACUGGGCGUAAAGCGCACGCAGGCGGUCUGCUAAGUUUGGAGUGGCAGUUGGUGGCUUAACUGCCAAAGUGCUUCGAAAACUGACAGACUUGAGGGCUUCAGAGGGACACGGAAUUCCGGGUGGAGUGGUGAAAUGCGUAGAGAUCCGGAGGAACACCAGUGGCGAAGGCGGCUACCUGGACAAAUACUGACGCUGAGGCGCGAAAGCGUGGGGAGCAAACAGG